rnacentral:rRNA from 1 species
UACGUAGGGGGCUAGCGUUGUCCGGAAUCAUUGGGCGUAAAGAGCGUGUAGGCGGUCCGGUAAGUCCGCUGUGAAAGUCGGGGGCUCAACCCUCGAAUGCCGGUGGAUACUGUCGGGCUAGAGUGCGGAAGAGGCGAGUGGAAUUCCUGGUGUAGCGGUGAAAUGCGCAGAUAUCAGGAGGAACACCUAUUGCGAAGGCAGCUCGCUGGGACGUAACUGACGCUGAGACGCGAAAGCGUGGGGAGCAAACAAG